rnacentral:rRNA from 1 species
ACGCUCGACACCUACGGGAGGCAGCAGUGGGGAAGUAUUGCACAAUGGGGGAAACCCGUGAUGCAGCGAUGCCGCGUGAAGGAAGAAGAUUUUCGGAUUGUAAACUUCUAUCAGCAAGGAAGAAAACGGACAGUACUUGAGUAAGAAGCCCCGGCUAACUACGUGCCAGUAGCCGCGGUAAUCUGAGCGGGCGUGCGAAGGC